rnacentral:misc_RNA from 1 species
GUUUUCUUGCCAAAGCCGAAUGGAGGGUAACGGAUAGCUUUGAAAUAAAGGACUUCCAAUGAAAACAGGGUACCAUACAUCUUUUCCAAGGAUCUCUGAGUCAUGGCUGGGACCACACUCUGCACAGAUACUUCAGAAGCUGUAGAAUUGUUCAAAGCACAAGGACUCUACUUAAAACCUAUUGCCAAACUUACAGUAUGUGUACAACUGCCAAAACUGAAAGAAAUGGGGAAGUCUAUCUCAAACUGGGAGGUGAUGGAAAAAAUUAAACGCAUGGCCAAACCUCACUCCUUCGUUUCCCUGAAGAUUAUCAAAAGCACAAUGGAGUUUAUGAGAUUGGAAGGAGAGGCAGAAACAAAGACGGAAAUCAAGGCCAUUAUUCAGUGUCUGGAUGGCAGGACAAUAAAACUGAGUGGCUUUCCUGAGGUUCUGAAGGUCAAGGCAGCAGAAGCCAAGGUCAGUCACCCUUCACAGCACGACUGGGACUCGUUCUUCAGAGACGCCAAAAACAUGAAUGAGAUGAAACCAGGAGAGAGACCAGAUACCAUACAUGUUAAGGACCUACCAACUAAGUGGUUCUCUCACAGACAGAAGGACAGACCCAGUGAACAGGUGGUCAAGAGAGUGUUUGAGAAUUUUGGGGAGGUGCGGUGCUUAGACAUUCCUAUGUUGGACCCAUACAGGAAAGAAAUGACUGCAGUUAAAUCCAAUGGUCUGCAGACUUUCAGCUUUAACACAGGGAUUACUUUUGAUUUGUAUGUUCAGUAUAAAGAAUAUAUAAGUUUUGUUAAAGCUAUGGACUCACUGCGAGGAAUGAAGUUGUUAUACAUAGCAGAUGAUGAAGAAGAGAAGGCAUAUACAUCUUGCAUUAAGGUGGACUUUGACAAAACAAAGCAUUUGUCGGACAGAUCCAUUAAAAAAAGAAGAAUGGAACGAGAAAAAUUAGAGCAGCUAGAAAGAGAAAGAGAAGAAAAAGUUCGCAAGGAAAGAGAGGAAGAAGAAAAAAGAAUCGAGGAAGAAAAGAGGAAAAAAGAAGAAGAGGAGAAGGAGAAAGAGAGAAAACGUGUAGAGAAACUAGAGAAGAGGGAAAAGCGAAGACGUGAGAGGGAAGAGAAGAGGAGACUGAAGGCCCAGGAGAGGAAGAGGUUGGAGGAAGAGAGGCAGUAUCAGGCGAAGAUUCAGAUGGAGGAGAGGCGGUUCUUGGUAGCCCAGAGGAAACUGGAGUCCAUCAGACUUCUGGGGGAACUGUUCUCUAGAAUAAAGGCAGAGAAGUUGUCCAAUGAUUUGGUUCAGCGAGAGUUGGAGCUUGAAGUGGAAAGGCGGAAACAACUAGAGGAGGAGAAAAGAAUCAAGGAGGAUAUGAAGAAGCGGAAACUUGAGGCAAAGAAGAGGAGGAAGGAGGAGCUCAGACAUCAUGAAACAGAACUGAGGGAGAAGAUCCUCAAAAACUGGAAAGACAAGGUAGUGGGGUGGAACGCAGGCAACUGGACAUAACAAUGCUCAAGUUGUUUCCCUUUUCCAGUUUGAGAUAUUUUAAUGUUUUGUUUUUAGAUUUGAGAAGAAUUUCAUUUCAUGUUUUGAUACAUGUUUGACUAAAAUCUAAUAUUGUGUAGUUUUGUGUACAUACACAGGAGGAAAAGAAAGAAGAAGAGAUGAGAGAGAGAUUGAGGAAAAGAUUACAAGGAAAGAAGAUUCUAAAGAGUGCUGCAGUGAAGCCAAACUUUACAAAAGUGACAGCAAGUUCAGAGGUCAGGCCCGCCUCCUCCCCUCCUGAUUGGCGGCAGCGUGGGGAGGAGUGGAUCAGAGAGGAGUAUCAAAACAAAGUCCUGCCCAAGGACAGAAGACUGAAAAAACGGGCAGGGCACAGACUUCAUAAAGGCAUGCCUUAUAAUCCACACAUGGAAUGGAAAAAGAGGUUAAAACGAAAAGAGUCAGAAAUGAGAAGGUGGAAAGAAUGGAUGGAGUGGAAGAAGCAGUUUUUGUAUUGGAAACACAAAUUCUCCAUCCCCGUUCCUUAUGUGGACUGAUUGCAUUAUUAAUUACAAGCAUAAUAAUGUUCAUUUUUACAGUCACUGUGUUUAAAAAACACAAGCAUCAACAUUUCCUUUUUUUUUAAUAUGUUGAUUUUACAUCUUUUUUUACUUUUAUUGUUUAAAACAUUUAUGUUUUUCAUGUGAUAUCGAAGGAAAUUCAUUUCUUUAUGAUUUUAAACUUUAAUUACUGAGAAAAGUAGUAGAUAUUUCAAGGUAGAAUAUGUUUGAAUUGAGUUAUUUUUCUUUGUUCAUGUCAAGAUUUUUCAUACUGGACCAAGAUCUGUUCGUAUUUUUUACUUAAUGAAGAAAUCAGUUGUUUAUAAAUAUUUGUGAACAAAAAUUCAAAACAUGGAACUGACACAAGAAGUCUUACAAAUAAAAAAUGUUGAAAAU